rnacentral:rRNA from 1 species
GAGGGGCCCGCGUCUGAUUAGCUAGUUGGUGAGGUAACGACUCACCAAGGCAACGAUCAGUAUCCGGCCUGAGAGGGCGGACGGACACACUGGGACUGAGACACGGCCCAGACUCCUACGGGAGGCAGCAGUGGGGAAUUGUUCGCAAUGGGCGCAAGCCUGACGACGCAACGCCGCGUGGAGGAUGAAGAUUUUCGGAUCGUAAACUCCUGUCGAAUGGGACGAAUAGGUCAUGGCCUAACACGCUGUGAUCCUGACGGUACCGUUAAAGGAAACCCCGGCUAACUCCGUGCCAGCAGCCGCGGUAAUACGGGGGGGGUAAGCGUUGUUCGGAAUUACUGGGCGUAAAGGGCUCGUAGGCGGCCAGCUAAGUCAGACGUGAAAUCCCUCAGCUUAACUGGGGAACUGCGUCUGAUACUGGAUGGCUUGGAUUCGGGAGAGGAAUGCGGAAUUCCAGGUGUAGCGGUGAAAUGCGUAGAUAUCUGGAGGAACACCGGUGGCGAAGGCGGCAUUCUGGACCGACAUUGACGCUGAGGAGCGAAAGCCAGGGGAGCAAACGGGAUUAGAUACCCCGGUAGUCCUGGCCCUAAACGAUGAAUGCUUGGUGU